AGAGUUUGAUCAUGGCUCAGAUUGAACGCUGGCGGCAGGCCUAACACAUGCAAGUCGAACGGUAACAGGAAGCAGCUUGCUGCUUUGCUGACGAGUGGCGGACGGGUGAGUAAUGUCUGGGAAACUGCCUGAUGGAGGGGGAUAACUACUGGAAACGGUGGCUAAUACCGCAUAACGUCGCAAGACCAAAGAGGGGGACCUUCGGGCCUCUUGCCAUCAGAUGUGCCCAGAUGGGAUUAGCUUGUUGGUGAGGUAACGGCUCACCAAGGCGACGAUCCCUAGCUGGUCUGAGAGGAUGACCAGCCACACUGGAACUGAGACACGGUCCAGACUCCUACGGGAGGCAGCAGUGGGGAAUAUUGCACAAUGGGCGCAAGCCUGAUGCAGCCAUGCCGCGUGUAUGAAGAAGGCCUUCGGGUUGUAAAGUACUUUCAGCGGGGAGGAAGGUGUUGUGGUUAAUAACCGCAGCAAUUGACGUUACCCGCAGAAGAAGCACCGGCUAACUCCGUGCCAGCAGCCGCGGUAAUACGGAGGGUGCAAGCGUUAAUCGGAAUUACUGGGCGUAAAGCGCACGCAGGCGGUCUGUCAAGUCGGAUGUGAAAUCCCCGGGCUCAACCUGGGAACUGCAUUCGAAACUGGCAGGCUUGAGUCUUGUAGAGGGGGGUAGAAUUCCAGGUGUAGCGGUGAAAUGCGUAGAGAUCUGGAGGAAUACCGGUGGCGAAGGCGGCCCCCUGGACAAAGACUGACGCUCAGGUGCGAAAGCGUGGGGAGCAAACAGGAUUAGAUACCCUGGUAGUCCACGCCGUAAACGAUGUCUACUUGGAGGUUGUGCCCUUGAGGCGUGGCUUCCGGAGCUAACGCGUUAAGUAGACCGCCUGGGGAGUACGGCCGCAAGGUUAAAACUCAAAUGAAUUGACGGGGGCCCGCACAAGCGGUGGAGCAUGUGGUUUAAUUCGAUGCAACGCGAAGAACCUUACCUGGUCUUGACAUCCACGGAAGAAUUCAGAGAUGGAUUUGUGCCUUCGGGAACCGUGAGACAGGUGCUGCAUGGCUGUCGUCAGCUCGUGUUGUGAAAUGUUGGGUUAAGUCCCGCAACGAGCGCAACCCUUAUCCUUUGUUGCCAGCGGUCCGGCCGGGAACUCAAAGGAGACUGCAGUGAUAAACUGGAGGAAGGUGGGGAUGACGUCAAGUCAUCAUGGCCCUUACGACCAGGGCUACACACGUGCUACAAUGGCGCAUACAAAGAGAAGCGACCUCGCGAGAGCAAGCGGACCUCAUAAAGUGCGUCGUAGUCCGGAUUGGAGUCUGCAACUCGACUCCAUGAAGUCGGAAUCGCUAGUAAUCGUGGAUCAGAAUGCCACGGUGAAUACGUUCCCGGGCCUUGUACACACCGCCCGUCACACCAUGGGAGUGGGUUGCAAAAGAAGUAGGUAGCUUAACCUUCGGGAGGGCGCUUACCACUUUGUGAUUCAUGACUGGGGUGAAGUCGUAACAAGGUAACCGUAGGGGAACCUGCGGUUGGAUCACCU
rnacentral:rRNA from 1 species